UACGGAGGAGGCAAGCGUUAUCCGGAAUUAUUGGGCGUAAAGCGUCCGCAGGUGGCACUUCAAGUCUGUCGUCAAAGACUGGGGCUUAACCCUGGAAAGGCGGUGGAAACUGAAGCGCUAGAGUGCGGUAGGGGUAGAGGGAAUUCCCGGUGUAGCGGUGAAAUGCGUAGAUAUUGGGAGGAACACCAGUGGCGAAGGCGGCUCACUGGACCGGUUCUGACGCUGAGGCGCGAAAGCGUGGGGAGCAAACGGG
rnacentral:rRNA from 1 species